GUGUCAUGGUCAUUGUUGACUGUUCAUAUGACCCAUGCAAUUGCGUUGCAGCUUGUGUGGGGGGUUAUAUAACGGUCAACAGAGACCCUUGACAU
rfam:Medicago truncatula strain A17 chromosome 8, whole genome shotgun sequence.